UACGUAGGGUGCAAGCGUUGUCCGGAAUUAUUGGGCGUAAAGAGCUCGUAGGCGGUUUGUUGCGUCGGCUGUGAAAUCCCGAGGCUCAACCUCGGGUCUGCAGUCGAUACGAGCAAACUAGAGUGUUGCAGGGGAGACUGGAAUUCCUGGUGUAGCGGUGAAAUGCGUAGAUAUCUGGAGGAACACCGGUGGCGAAAGCGGCUCACUGGACCGUCUCUGACGCUGAGGUGCGAAAGCCAGGGUAGCGAACGGG
rnacentral:rRNA from 1 species